rnacentral:rRNA from 1 species
AACGAACGCUGGCGGCAUGCCUAACACAUGCAAGUCGAACGAGACCUUCGGGUCUAGUGGCGCACGGGUGCGUAACGCGUGGGAACCUGCCCUUAGGUUCGGAAUAACUCCCCGAAAGGGGUGCUAAUACCGGAUAAUGUCCUCGGACCAAAGAUUUAUCGCCUUUGGAUGGGCCCGCGUUGGAUUAGCUAGUUGGUAGGGUAAAAGCCUACCAAGGCGACGAUCCAUAGCUGGUAUGAGAGGAUGGUCAGCCACACUGGGACUGAGACACGGCGCAGACUCCUACGGGAUGCAGCAGUGGGGAAUAUUGGACAAUGGGCGAAAGCCUGAUCCAGCAAUGCCGCGUGAGUGAUGAAGGCCUGAGGGUUGUAAAGCUCUUUUACCCGGGAUGAUAAUGACAGUACCGGGAGAAUAAGCUCCGGCUAACUCCGUG